UAAAGGACAAUAUUGUUCGCAUAUCGGAAGUAGAACGCCAAAAUUGAAACAAAUAUCGAGGGAGAGGAAUAAAUGGGAAACCUUCAAGAAGAUAUAACGAAGUUAAACUAAUCCACGGCGAUCGUUCGCGUUAAGGAACAGGAUAUAACAAUUUUACCUGCUGCAACUGCACAGCCGUAAUCUUACUUUCAGCUCCAUAAUUCAGACAAAAAGUUAAUUAUCGAAUUAAAUCGCGUUGAAUCAAAUCUCCACCGUCUACCGACAUCCGCAAUUUUGUAUAUAUAAAGCGUACACACACAGAGGUAUGCGUGUAUGAAUAUCGUGUAACUAAAGACAGAUCAGGUAAGUCCUUCCUUCGUCCCGCAUCGCAGGUUCGCCCACACCAUCCGCUUUGUCGUUGCUGCACCGUAUAUAUAUAUUUCACAUACAUAUGUAAAUACAUACGUACGUACAUAUAUCAUAUAUUGAAACCUAUUGAAACAUGUACGUAAAACACCCACUUGCAUAUACGUAUACCUGUACGUACAUAUACAAAUUCCACACCCACUGAUUUCGAGUGACCGAAGGUCAAAAAAUCGUUCACAUACACGUGUACACGAGUGAAUAUUUUUGUAAAUUAAAAAGCGAUAAAAGAAACAAAAAAUUGAAAUUAAAAUUGAAAAAAGAUGUUCCAGCAGCUGUCGUUUGAAACGUAACCACGUCUCGUCAAAUUUUCGGUAGUCGCGGGUUACAUACUUAUCCAGGUAUAUAAAUUUUUCUUUUCACACCUUAUCUACAUUAAUUACUAUCAUCACAGGUAUAGCUUGGUCUCAUUUCAUAUUGCGUGUAAUUGGACGGUAUUAAGCAAUAACGUCUUAACCAACGAGAAUAAAAUUUCAGAAGGUUAUUGCUUAAUACCGUCCAAUUAUUAUAAUUCGUUUUAUUAUUAUCAAAUUUUUACUCAAGAUAAAAAUAAACUGCAAAUAGUAUCAUAUUGUAGCAAUCAAUGACGAUUAUAUGGGAUUCAAGCUAUACAGGUAUCAAAUACCAAUUUUACCCCAAAAGAUUUGUAGAAUUUUUUUAUAAUAAUUGAAGAGAACUUUUAACAUCAUUCUUGAUCGAAUUUUUCUUUUUCUCUCUUCUUUAGGAUCUCUAAAGUAUCCCGUUUUGCCCGGCCUUCCCCUUUAUAACUCACAUAUACCUGGAUAUCUCCGUUAUCUGAAGGUUUAUAUAAAUAUAGCAGGCGUCUCGCCAUAAUACUAUCUACCUACCCUUACCCCCAUCAUGUAUACAUACACAUAUGAUGAGUGACGCAUUAAUCACGUGAGAUAUGAUCGUACAUAGGUACGUAGGUAUAUACAUGCGAACGUGGGACGUAUGACGCUUUAACGUAACAUAGGUGCGCACGAUCAUAAAUACAGGUAUACCCAAAUUCUGAGCCUUUCUUUUUUUCUUGGUUCAAAAAAAUGGAGAAAGCAAAAAGUCACGAGCCUCUUUCCCUCGAAUUUCGAGUCCAAAUAAAAUGAUCAAAUGGACUUCGAAUUUUAAUAAUUCUUUCAUCACUUAGCCUGCGUUCAUUUAUUCGAUCAAUUGUCGAUUAAUUCUCUAGUUUCUUUAUAAUGUCAAUAUUUUAAUCCUUCAAAUUUUGGGAAUAAAAAAAGAGUCACCUACGCGGUUGUAAAAAUAAAUCAUCUGUGUGUAUACAGGUAUGAUAUCAGUACAUAUAUGAUAGUAAUAAAAAUCUUCUGUAACGUAAGAAAAGAAGAAUAAAAAAUUGUCAAGCAGGAAAAAUACCAAGUGCGAGAGUACUGUUGUGCAUACGUAUACUGUAUGUACAGGUAUAUAAUAUAUGCAUACACAUAUGAGUACGUCCGCAGGUAACAGGAAACUUUUUCCUAAUCAGUGAAAAUAUUGUUGUUAUCAUUAUUAUCGUCGUCGUCAUCAUCAUCAUCAUCAUAACCGGAGAUAUACCUUGCGUGGAGCGUCUACAUCAGCAUCAGCAGCUGACACAUGGGUAUAACUAUACCUAUGUAUAGGGACAUUGGCUUUGUCCGUGAAAUGUAAUGGCGAAUCACUGCAGAAUUGCGGAGUAAUCAACUCCUAUGUACAACACAUAUAUAUAUUAUACACCUAUAUAUACACGUAUACACGUAUAACAUCUACGUGCAUAUAGCUAUACCUGUAAUAUUUGAUAUUAUACAAUGAAAAUAAUUUUGUGGCGCGUCACUGAUCCACAUACGUGUAUGUGGUGUACACAUAUACAGUGGGUACAAUAUAUCAAAAAGUACAGGUGUAUCUGGAGCUAUAAAGUUACGCAAAAUUGCGAAACGAGGGAUGUAUCAACCCCCCGCCUCUUCGCUCCCUGCAUUCCCAUGGAGAUAAAAAUUAGUAGAACGAGGAGAAAAAAAAAAUGGAUAAAAAUUAUCGAUCGAUAGGAAUCGACGAAAAAAAAUCCGCGCUGCACAUUAACGCGACAGUGCAGUCAUGUACGGCAUAAAUAAUGUACUCGUCAUAUAUUUCUAUACGUACAGGAUGUGAGCCAUUACUCUCCGUGUGCAAUACACAUCCACAACCGUAUCGUGAAACACGAGGUAAACUAGCAUACUUAUGUACACAUAUUAAUUGCGAUUCGGAUGAUUAACUGAUAAAAUAUUUGUUAUCGAUUAUUCAUAAAUUUCCUAUCGAACUAUGCAUCGAACAUGGAUGUAAUUUGUUCUUCUUUCCCCCCCCCCCGUGUUCCCUGGAAUCGAAGAACGAACUCUCUGAAUUUUUUAUCUAAUCCCCGCGCUCGCCGGGCCCCUCCUGAUUUUUGCGCUGGAAUGCGAUUACUUUUUGCGCACCCGUUAUACAAUAACCGACGUACGGGGGUUUGUUUUUUCAAAUUUUCUUUGCACGUGUGUCCAAGUAACACAAAGCGAGAUAAGCUGCAGCCACUAAAGCGAAUCGUAUUUCACCUACAGGCAAAGAACACGAUAAAUAAAUUGAAACGACGCUCUGUACAACUGUGGUAUACAUAAGUCCGUAUGUAUACGUAUGUACGUGUUACUCGAUAACACAUGCACAAAUCAUGUGUACACAAUUCCGCACAUAGUCUUGCCUUGUGCAUUGAAUACAUACGAGCAUGUAUAUAAACCCGUAAAAAAAAUUUUUAUACAUACAAUGGCGGUUAUGUGUAUGCACGACAGACGUACGUGUGUGUGUGAAAGAGAACCGAGAGAAUUAGCCGUGCGCGCCGUGCGGAAUUCAACACUAUAUACACAUCGUUAUACGUAUAGCUAUACACAGCGAAUACAUAGGUUUGUCUACCCGGCAAAACUUACUGCGCAGUUAACAAACUCUAAACCAGAUUUUAUGUAGUUGAGAGACGCGGUUAUCCCGUUGAGGCCGCGCUCGAUUAGCUACGCGCGGUUUUUUUCUAUUUUAUUUUAUUUAUUUAUUUUUUUUAUUCCGCCAUUUUUUUUUCUCCAUCUUUCCGUUUCUUUGAAUCCACCCGAUUCUUUUUAUUUCGAUUUUUUUUUCAUUAUUUUAUUUUUGAUUCCAAUUUUUUAAGUCCUUUUUUCGUCGCACGGCGACCGGUCGAUAUGCUUCGAAAAUUGCAAUCAAGGUCCAUCGACGUCGAUAUCCAGGAGAAAAAAGAUCAAAAGUAGAGGCAAGAGAAAGAAAAAAAUAAACUUGAAAAUUAACCGGACGAAAAAGUAAAAAAUGACCAAAAACAAAAAUUAGGUGAUCGCUACUAUUAUUAUAAUAAGAGAGUUCCACGUGCGCAUUAAGAAACAGGAUCUGCCAAUCCUUGCGAAUUUUAUUUAUUCAUGUACGCGCAAUUUUUUCUUCAAGUACUUUUGAAGCGGCCAAACUAACUUCAUAUGUACAUGUACAUGGGAUAUAUAUCGAUCUUUCCUGUUACACAUAUUUACCUAUAUAUCUACACUCAUCUAAAUUAUGCUGCCGGGGCUUCACCGAUUGAAAAAUUUCGCAUAGGCAUACAGAUACAACGUGUAUACGAUAAAUUGCUAACUACUUCCGUCUACUUGUCAGCGGCACGAUCACAAUAGUCAUCACUAAUAAAUACUGUCGAUACUACUAUAAUAUUUUUGUCUUUGUUAAUAAUAAAAAAAAAAAAUAAGAGUUAACAAGCGCGUUAUCGUAUGGUUAUAGACAAUUUCGAUGGUGUGUACAUCGCGUAUAGUAGCUAAAGUAUAUCCGGAAAAAACUAGAUUAGAAGCCGGCAUUUUGUGGCGCCAGUAACGUAACACGUAUUAGACACACGCGUAUAACCUAGUAGCAUUCGCGUUACGAAAGAUCUUCGAAGCUUUAUUGCUGUACAAGUGUGCGUACGAAGUCGCUGUAUAGUAUAACUAUAUAAUAAAUGAUAUUGCACUACGUAUAAAUAAUUAAUAGAUUUAUUGUACAGAAUUACCGUAUCGCCAUGAGAUCUGUAUUAUUCGCGUACAGAAGCUUUUUCUUUCGUCCAAAUUAUUUUUUCAUUAUACAGGAAAAGAUUGAGCGAUCGAAUUUUCUCGAAAAGUCAUUCUCUUAGAUAAAGAAAAGAAAAAAGAAAAAAUCAAUUCGUCCGAUGCACGAACUCUGCAAUCGUUUUUACAGUUAAUUUUUCGUAACUGCGGAGUAUAUGACAUAAAAAGUGUUCGAAAUUAGAUACACCCCGUACGAAAAUAUGAGAUACAAAUUUAUCUACUUACAAGCCUACUGUAAUGCACACGACUUUAAAAUACGAUAUCCCUACCUGCUCUCAAAAAAAUGAUGUAAAAAAAAAAAAAAAGGUGAAUAUAAUUGGGCGCGAGAAUAAAGUGUAUCGAAUUUUUGGGAAGGGGUAAAACCGGUAGCCACACGCCGAUCGAUUUAGCCGGUGGUUACGAAAGAUGAGAAAAAAAAAUUGGUGAAAUAUGAGACCGGAACGUGAGCUCUCAUUUUCCGGCCGAUAUCCUCUCUUUACCGAUCUUCCACCGAUUUUACUAACAGGUCGAAGAGUUAGGUGUGCGGUGAAAAUGAGACGCCUCGUUAUUUAUAUUGUGUGUUAAAUUUGAAAACCAAAUUAGGGUGAGAAUCGAUUGGUAAAACGGAUAAGACGAUAAUAUAUUGCUGAAUAUUUUCCUUCGUUUUUUCUUCUCAUUUUCUAAUCAACUACGUAAAAUUGCGUCAUCAAAUUCUGAGUAUAUAGGAAUAUAUUAUACAUCGUCUAUGAACCCUACUGCUACGCAAUUUAUCGCGGUUUGAAAGUACAGAUAUACCUAGUUCUCUUCCGGAGUUGAGAAAUACGAUCUGCAUUAAUACGGCGAUAUAGUUGAUUUUUUAUAUUAUCUAUUUUUUUUAAUAAAUAUAUAUUCCUUUA